rnacentral:lncRNA from 1 species
AGAAUUCAUACAGAUAAAAAGACUCAUCAGUACACUCAAUGUGAGAAAGAUUUCACGUGUGCUAAUUGUAUUUGCAGGCAUGAAAGAAGUUGUAUUGCAGUGCAACACUCUGAAUUUAUUCAAUGUGGUAAAGCCUUUGCAUAUCAUAGUCUUAGACAAAGGCAUGAAAGAACACAUAAUGGGGAGAAAGACUAUUACUGUAACCAAUGUGGUAAAGCCUUUGUAAUAAGCAGUCAUCUCCGAAAACAUAAACGAAGAAAUACAGGAGAGAAACCCUAUGAAUGUAACCAA